GGGAGGGCCCUCAGGGACAGGCAGGCAGCGGCUUAUCGGAGAGGAAUUUGGGGAGUACGAUGGAGCGGUGCUGCACCAUCAGCAUCAGCAAGAAGCAGAGUUACUUGUUCCCCACACUCCUGCGUCUUUCCACCAAAGGUAAGGGUUUUGGGAGCCCCCAGGGGCCAGAAGGAGGGUUGGACAGGGUUGGGGCUGCUUUGAGUGUCCCGUGGGCACAGCAUGUCCCCCUACCAGGGCCAGCUUCUGAGCUGUGGGAGCUCUGACCUCUCGAGGUGCUGGCUCUUAUUCGAGGUCUGACAGCUCCUACUGGGCUCUCAGGAGCCAGCUGGAUCUUGGGUUGCCGUCUCCUUUUAGGGGUUAGAUGACCACAGCCCUGGUUCUGAGGCCUUUUCACACCCCCAGUUCCCCCAGUUCUGCCCCAGCCUUGCUUUGGGAGUAGAGAGAACCCAACUCCCUUGGGGAGUAGAACCAGGGGCACAGUCCAGUCCAGGCUUUUUGUCAGCCCCAUCUAUCACUCCACAGAGCUCCCCAAAAUGCCAUGAGUGCAACCUGAUGCCUCUUUCUGUAUUUUCCAGAGGUGGUGGCCAUCUGGAAUUUUGUGUCUGCCUACAUCCUAGAACAGAUGAAGCUGGACAAGGUUGGCUGGUGUCUUGGACCCCUGUGGUCCCCCUCCCCAAGCAUCGUGGCACCACCCUGGAGAACUCAUCUUAGUGUGCCCUGAUCGGCCAGGGGUGGAGAGGCCUAGCAGAGAGAUACAGGAGGUUCCUGCUGGGUCUAUGCCAAUGAUCAUCCCUGGGAAUCUUUCCCUGGGUUGGAAUGGCUUGGGUUUUUCUUUAGCUGAGGAAUUUUUGUGAAUAUUUUGAAGAGGGAAAGUAAAAAAACGGAGAGCAUGGGUUUUCCCCACAGUUUUCACAUUUCCUUUUGUCAGAGUCUGGAUUAUAACAACAUCUCAAGACAUCUUGCUCUUGUAAUGCCACUGUCUGUGUCUGGUGGGAGGGGCAGGCAAAGCUUUGCGUAGUGAAGCAGAGCCCUGUCCCGCCCCCAGCCCCCAGAUGGGCUGUCAAUCAUAGCACCUAUCAGCAGUCCCACCUGGGGCACCGGCCCACAAAGGCCCAAGGACUUAAAACAGGCUGACCACAAGGUAGCCAGUAUGUGGACUGUGCCUUUUCUGGGACUCUGGGGGAACCUGGGAGCUGGUAGCUAUAUGUGUAUUUUGCUUUACCUUUUCUGUCUCUCCUUCUAGUCCACUUUUCAUGAAACCUUUUUGGGUAAAUGCUAAGUAAUGGGAUGAUUGAUAAGUGGGUUUAUGUUGAAUUUGUUAGUUUUUUUAUUCCUUUGCCAAAAUUUCCUUAGUUUUCUAUAUUUUUGCCUUUUGUGUGAUUUUUCACCUCUUGAGAAUAGCUGGUGGGGAUUUCUCCUUUGCUCCAGCUAGAGUAAAGGAACCUUGAGUUUAAGCCCUGGAUUCAAGGGUCUGGGAUAUGACAGCUAUCUCAACUGUUUUGUUUUCUCCCUGAGCAGGGUGUUCUUGUCCCAGGUCUUGGGACCUUUGCCGUGGUCCCUGAGCAAAUCAACAGCACAGAAGAGGUGUAUGUGGUUCGAAGACCCGUGUUCCAGCUGGACAUGGACAUGUCCUGUCUACGGGAGCUGGUGUUCCCAACAGUGAUGAUCCCUGGUGACAUCAUGAUCAUGCCACUGGAUUACUGGUGGCUGUCCCAGACCAAUUCCCUCCCACCUGAUGUGGUGAGGGGCUGCGUGGAGGAGACCAUUCUCUUGUACUCCUUCCAGCUGAGGGACAGGCAGCGCCCCGCAUUUGCCUUUGAGAAUAUUGGCAUCCUGUCCUGCCAGGACAAUGUCCUGUGCAUGCAAUUCCACUGCAGCUGCAUUGCAGGACUGGAGAGUCAGGACACCUGGGUGGCUCUGCUGCUCACGGUGAGCUGGAAUCUGGGGGCAUUGAAGUGCUGGAGAGUCCCCAGAGAAGGGCAGAGAGGCUGGGAAAGGGUUUGAAGCCCAAGUCUCAUGAGGAGCAGCUGUGGGGGCUGAGCCUGAAGAAAAGGAGGCUCAAGGGGGACCUUUGUUGUUCUCUGCAUCUGCAUGAAAGGAGGGUGAAGCCAGGUGGGGUCAGUCUGUUCUCCCAGAUAACAGAAGACAAAUUGCACCAGGAGAGGUGGUGGGAUUUUAGAGAAAAUUUCUUCAUGUAGGAGGCUGUCCACCCCUGACACAGGCUGCCCAGGGCAAUGGUGGACUCUUCAUCCCUGGAGGGAUUUAAGAGACAUGUGGAUGUGGCCAUUGUUGGACUUGUUGGCCUCUAAGGGUUCUUCUAAUUGGUUCUUUGAUUCCAUGAUGUUCACGAAUGAGAUUUGAGAAGAGGAGUUUGGAGAAGUAGCUCCUAUAGGAGCAGGAGACCAGUCUGCUUUCUCCGUGGAAAUCUUCUGACCCCUCCCUGUCACUCCGCAGAGGCUAAGUAUGCCAGGUUCAGGUGUCAACAAUGGAGUGACCACUGUUCAGGGUGUGCAGGUUGCACAAGCCCACAUGUUCCCCAGGUGAGUGCAUUUCCUUGUUGAUUUUCUGGUUCCUUCAUUGCCUGAAGAGUGUGGGAUCUGCCAUUCCUCAAGCCUGUGGCAUCAUUUGCUUCUGGAGUUGGCUUACUUAUUCUUGUGGUUCCCUUCCAAUUCAGGAUAUUGUCAUUCUGUGAUUCCAGGUUUCAGCUCACUGUGUCUGAUGCUUUUUCCACCCAACAUACAAAGGCUGCAGAGAAACACAGUGUCAGAACAGUGUGCUCACCCCAUGCCCAGCCAGCUCUCCGAGGAUGAGGGAGGCAGGUGGACAGGAGUUAGCUCCUCCAGUCAGGCCUGACAUCACACUCCUGGCUUCUGAGAACUGCCAGAGAGCACUGCAGGUAUUUGGUGUUGGAGGUGCUUGGGCUUCACACCAUCCAUCCCAGCCCCCAAAAAAAGGGGUCACCGUGAGGCGGGGGAUGGCUGGAACCCCCCUCCCCACAGAGAAAAUGGCAGAGAUAUUCCAGCCUGGGACCAGACACCUUUCCCCACGAGCCAUCCAGGUGCUCCAUGGGCUGGAGCCACAUCAGACACGGAGGAACAUCUUCAUGUUUUUGGCUGAGAACAACCGACGGCGGCAGGAGCAGCACAGGCAGUUCUGCAGGUAAUUCCACAGGAAUGGAAUUUCCUACAUUCCUCUGCUGAAGCAGCCCUGGGGGACAGAAGUGGGAUCUGGAGGCUGCCUGUGGGCUGGACUCCCCUGGCACCCACUGGACACCCAAAAUCGGCUUCCCAUGUGGGACAGAAAAGUCCUGGCUGAAGACAGAGGGACCUUGAUGGCAGGCUGUCCCCUUCCCAAACGUGAGAGCGUGUCCUUCCCUGCCAGAGUCCUAACCCACAACACCUUGUCCUGAGUGGGGACACCUGUAUGGGACACCCAGGGUCUCAGCCCAACCUGGCUUUGCCUCAGCUGCACCAGGGACCUUCUCAUGGGUGGGGAAAUCACCAGAGGCAUCUCCAUGGACACCUUAACGUGACCUGAUCCCAGGUGCCCUGAGCCAAUCCUACAGAAAGUCUUUGCCUUCUGCCCGCCUGUUUGAUCGGAUGCCUCUCUCUCUCUCCCUCUCACCUCAGCUCCAGGUGCUGGUCUAGCGCAUGAAGGGCUGGGGCUGGAGCUGUGUCUGCAACAGAAGCUGCGGGUGAUGGGGCUGGGAGGCUGCUCACCUGCUGAGGUCCACCUCAGGUGGUUACAAAAUAAAUACCUCUGUUCCCACCUGGA